rnacentral:rRNA from 1 species
GAUGAACGCUCGCGGCGUGCCUAAUACAUGCAAGUCGAGCGAACAGACGAGGAGCUUGCUCCUCUGACGUUAGCGGCGGACGGGUGAGUAACACGUGGAUAACCUACCUAUAAGACUGGGAUAACUUCGGGAAACCGGAGCUAAUACCGGAUAAUAUAUUGAACCGCAUGGUUCAAUAGUGAAAGACGGUUUUGCUGUCACUUAUAGAUGGAUCCGCGCCGCAUUAGCUAGUUGGUAAGGUAACGGCUUACCAAGGCGACGAUACGUAGCCGACCUGAGAGGGUGAUCGGCCACACUGGAACUGAGACACGGUCCAGACUCCUACGGGAGGCAGCAGUAGGGAAUCUUCCGCAAUGGGCGAAAGCCUGACGGAGCAACGCCGCGUGAGUGAUGAAGGUCUUCGGAUCGUAAAACUCUGUUAUUAGGGAAGAACAAAUGUGUAAGUAACUAUGCACGUCUUGACGGUACCUAAUCAGAAAGCCACGGCUAACUACGUG